rnacentral:rRNA from 1 species
UACGGGGGGGGCAAGCGUUGUUCGGAAUUACUGGGCGUAAAGGGCUCGUAGGUGGCCAACUAAGUCAGACGUGAAAUCCCUCAGCUUAACCGGGGAACUGCGUCUGAUACUGGAUGGCUUGAGUUUGGGAGAGGGACGCGGAAUUCCAGGUGUAGCGGUGAAAUGCGUAGAUAUCUGGAGGAACACCGGUGGCGAAGGCGGCGUCCUGGACCAAUACUGACACUGAGUGAGCGAAAGCCAGGGGAGCAAACGGG